rnacentral:rRNA from 1 species
AGUGGGGAAUAUUGCACAAUGGGCGAAAGCCUGAUGCAGCGACGCCGCGUGAGGGAUGACGGCCUUCGGGUUGUAAACCUCUUUCAGCAGGGAAGAAGCGAAAGUGACGGUACCUGCAGAAGAAGCGCCGGCUAACUACGUGCCAGCAGCCGCGGUAAUACGUAGGGCGCAAGCGUUGUCCGGAAUUAUUGGGCGUAAAGAGCUCGUAGGCGGCUUGUCACGUCGGAUGUGAAAGCCCGGGGCUUAACCCCGGGUCUGCAUUCGAUACGGGCUAGCUAGAGUGUGGUAGGGGAGAUCGGAAUUCCUGGUGUAGCGGUGAAAUGCGCAGAUAUCAGGAGGAACACCGGUGGCGAAGGCGGAUCUCUGGGCCAUUACUGACGCUGAGGAGCGAAAGCGUGGGGAGCGAA